AGAUGUGUGCCCUGCAGCAGUCAGUGUAACCUGGCUAACACAAGCACAGCUCAGUGUGCUCCAUGGCAGGAAAAUCUCAUUGCAUCCUGGCUAGAAGUGACUGCUGGGGUGAAAUGUUUCCAUGAAAUUGGUACCUGUAUUAACUGCUUUCAUGUAUAUCCCGAAUGCAUCUUUAACCUGCAAUGCAGAUAUUCCUGAGGAACAGGAGGGGUGCUUGUUUAUACAUUGCCAUUUUCCAUUGCCAUUUUACUUGCCAUAUCUCAGCCAGUACAGGAGGGGCAUCAUUAUGUAGAGAGCAUCUAAAACGCUAUGAACAGUAGGGGAGAGAAAGAUGCAUGGAAGAAAAGCAACUGAAGAGCUUUUUUAGAAAAUUAGGUGUCCAUGUUUGCAGACAACUGUGAAAGCAGAGUUGUGAAGAGGUACUUUUCCGGUGAAUCUGGAAAAGGUGAAAAAUGCCUUCAUCACUCUGGAUGGAGAAGAGACUUAUAUAAAACUGUUGGCUUGAAGCAUUUUUUUGUGCAUGGGACAAAACUUACUCUACAUUUUACUUUAACCAGCAUAGUACAGAGAGCACACCUUAUAGAAUUGUCCCACAGGAUGUUUGUUUUAGUAUCAGCCCCAAGAUUAACCUUUGGGAUAUUGAAAAAGAUCUGUUAAAGAUAGCGGCUUCCAAGUGGUCUUUUGUUUUUCCCCCAUAUUCCUUUUCUGUUUUAAACCUUGAAUCUUGUUCUUGUUUAAUUGUUUAGGCUAAUGCUGUCUAACCAAAAGCAGACAUGGGCUACCAUGAUGGGUAAUCUGCUGGUCCAGCUUCUGACAUUAGUCAGACUAUUCCCUAGAAAUUAAGUCAUGCCUCAGAAGGCUGUUUCUAUUUUGGAGACAUUUCAGGUGCUUAAUGUGUAGUAAGCUGUUAAAAUAUUUCAUUAAAUACUUCUCUUUCCUUCUACUCCUCAUUUGUUGGUGCCAAAAUUUCACAGCUGGAGAAGGUUGUUUCUUUUUUUUUUUUUUUUUUUAACCAUGAUUUUGAAAGGUAAUCCAGCUCUGAGCAGGAAUAGUCAGCAUAUCCCCUGAGCAAUAGGCUCAGAUGUUCUGCAUUGACUGCUAUUUUGAUAUUCUUGGAUGGAAAUCCAUCACUUAAUACUCAAACAUGAGGCACAUACUGGUUCUCUGGCAUGCCUUCGCCUGUGACCAUCUGUUGGGGUGGCACUACGCCCACUCAAAAAACUCCCUGCCAGUUUCAAGAGGGCAUAGGUAUUAACCAAAUAUAGAUUUUGAAAGACAGCUAGUAAAAUGCUAGGGAUGUCAUUUUAGCUGCAAGACUAUUUCUCUUGUUGUUAGGCAAUCCCAGACUGGGUCCACGCGUUUCAGAGGAAAGCUUGCAGGCACACUGUAAGCUCACUGCAAACCUGCCUGUUUAUGCACAUAUAUAAAAAGCAGUUUACAACUGUAGAAAGACAAAAUUCCUGUCCAUCUGAAUAUUAAAUAAUUUGAAACAGAUGAGAAAAUAACAUGGACAAGCUGAAGAGCAGAUUGGAAAGAAGCUAAGAAAGUGAAAAAGUGGGAAAUGGAGAAAAAAAACAAUGAAAACCAAGUUGUCCACAGGACAGAAUCAUAUGACCUCAAAGACAGAAGCAUGAAACCUGAAUCUGAUGUGGAAAGAAGGAA